rnacentral:rRNA from 1 species
AUUGAACGCUGGCGGCAUGCCUUACACAUGCAAGUCGAACGGCAGCACGGGAGCAAUCCUGGUGGCGAGUGGCGAACGGGUGAGUAAUACAUCGGAACGUGCCCAAUCGUGGGGGAUAACGCAGCGAAAGCUGUGCUAAUACCGCAUACGAUCUACGGAUGAAAGCAGGGGAUCGCAAGACCUUGCGCGAAUGGAGCGGCCGAUGGCAGAUUAGGUAGUUGGUGAGGUAAAGGCUCACCAAGCCGUCGAUCUGUAGCUGGUCUGAGAGGACGACCAGCCACACUGGGACUGAGACACGGCCCAGACUCCUACGGGAGGCAGCAGUGGGGAAUUUUGGACAAUGGGCGAAAGCCUGAUCCAGCCAUGCCGCGUGCAGGAUGAAGGCCUUCGGGUUGUAAACUGCUUUUGUACGGAACCAAACGGCCUUUUCUAAUAAAGAGGGCUAAUGACGGUACCGUAAGAAUAAGCACCGGCUAACUACGUGCCAGCAGCCCCGGUAAUACGCAGGGUGCAACCGUUAAUCGGAAUACUGGGCCCAAACGGGCCCAUGUGGUUACGUAAGACAGA